UUAAGCGACUAAGCGUACACGGUGGAUGCCCUGGCAGUCAGAGGCGAUGAAGGACGUGCUAAUCUGCGAAAAGCGUCGGUAAGGUGAUAUGAACCGUUACAGCCGGCGAUGUCCGAAUGGGGAAACCCAGUGUGAUUCGUCACACUAUCGUUAACUGAAUACAUAGGUUAACGAGGCGAACCGGGGGAACUGAAACAUCUAAGUACCCCGAGGAAAAGAAAUCAACCGAGAUUCCCCCAGUAGCGGCGAGCGAACGGGGAGCAGCCCAGAGUCUGAAUCAGCUUGUGUGUUAGUGGAACGGUCUGGAAAGUCCGACGGUACAGGGUGAUAGUCCCGUACACCAAAAUGCACAGGCUGUGAACUCGAAGAGUAGGGCGGGACACGUGGUAUCCUGUCUGAAUAUGGGGGGACCAUCCUCCAAGGCUAAAUACUCCUGACUGACCGAUAGUGAACCAGUACCGUGAGGGAAAGGCGAAAAGAACCCCGGCGAGGGGAGUGAAAAAGAACCUGAAACCGUGUACGUACAAGCAGUGGGAGCACCUUCGGGUGUGACUGCGUACCUUUUGUAUAAUGGGUCAGCGACUUAUAUUCUGUAGCAAGGUUAACCGUAUAGGGGAGCCGCAGGGAAACCGAGUCUUAACUGGGCGUUAAGUUGCAGGGUAUAGACCCGAAACCCGGUGAUCUAGCCAUGGGCAGGUUGAAGGUUGGGUAACACUAACUGGAGGACCGAACCGACUAAUGUUGAAAAAUUAGCGGAUGACUUGUGGCUGGGGGUGAAAGGCCAAUCAAACCGGGAGAUAGCUGGUUCUCCCCGAAAGCUAUUUAGGUAGCGCCUCGUGAAUUCAUCUUCGGGGGUAGAGCACUGUUUCGGCUAGGGGGUCAUCCCGACUUACCAACCCGAUGCAAACUACGAAUACCGAAGAAUGUUAUCACGGGAGACACACGGCGGGUGCUAACGUCCGUCGUGAAGAGGGAAACAACCCAGACCGCCAGCUAAGGUCCCAAAGUCAUGGUUAAGUGGGAAACGAUGUGGGAAGGCACAGACAGCCAGGAUGUUGGCUUAGAAGCAGCCAUCAUUUAAAGAAAGCGUAAUAGCUCACUGGUCGAGUCGGCCUGCGCGGAAGAUGUAACGGGGCUAAACCAUGCACCGAAGCUGCGGCAGCGACACUAUGUGUUGUUGGGUAGGGGAGCGUUCUGUAAGCCUGCGAAGGUGACCUGUGAGGGUUGCUGGAGGUAUCAGAAGUGCGAAUGCUGACAUAAGUAACGAUAAAGCGGGUGAAAAGCCCGCUCGCCGGAAGACCAAGGGUUCCUGUCCAACGUUAAUCGGGGCAGGGUGAGUCGACCCCUAAGGCGAGGCCGAAAGGCGUAGUCGAUGGGAAACAGGUUAAUAUUCCUGUACUUGGUGUUACUGCGAAGGGGGGACGGAGAAGGCUAUGUUAGCCGGGCGACGGUUGUCCCGGUUUAAGCAUGUAGGCUGAUUAUCCAGGCAAAUCCGGAUAAUCAAGGCUGAGGUGUGAUGACGAGGCACUACGGUGCUGAAGUAACAAAUGCCCUGCUUCCAGGAAAAGCCUCUAAGCAUCAGGUAACAUCAAAUCGUACCCCAAACCGACACAGGUGGUCAGGUAGAGAAUACCAAGGCGCUUGAGAGAACUCGGGUGAAGGAACUAGGCAAAAUGGUGCCGUAACUUCGGGAGAAGGCACGCUGGUGUGUAGGUGAAGUCCCUGCGGAUGGAGCUGAGACCAGUCGAAGAUACCAGCUGGCUGCAACUGUUUAUUAAAAACACAGCACUGUGCAAACACGAAAGUGGACGUAUACGGUGUGACGCCUGCCCGGUGCCGGAAGGUUAAUUGAUGGGGUUAUCCGUAAGGAGAAGCUCUUGAUCGAAGCCCCGGUAAACGGCGGCCGUAACUAUAACGGUCCUAAGGUAGCGAAAUUCCUUGUCGGGUAAGUUCCGACCUGCACGAAUGGCGUAAUGAUGGCCAGGCUGUCUCCACCCGAGACUCAGUGAAAUUGAACUCGCUGUGAAGAUGCAGUGUACCCGCGGCAAGACGGAAAGACCCCGUGAACCUUUACUAUAGCUUGACACUGAACAUUGAGCCUUGAUGUGUAGGAUAGGUGGGAGGCUUUGAAGCGUGGACGCCAGUCUGCGUGGAGCCAACCUUGAAAUACCACCCUUUAAUGUUUGAUGUUCUAACGUUGGCCCCUUACCGGGGUUGCGGACAGUGUCUGGUGGGUAGUUUGACUGGGGCGGUCUCCUCCCAAAGCGUAACGGAGGAGCACGAAGGUUAGCUAAUCCUGGUCGGACAUCAGGAGGUUAGUGCAAUGGCAUAAGCUAGCUUGACUGCGAGCGUGACGGCGCGAGCAGGUGCGAAAGCAGGUCAUAGUGAUCCGGUGGUUCUGAAUGGAAGGGCCAUCGCUCAACGGAUAAAAGGUACUCCGGGGAUAACAGGCUGAUACCGCCCAAGAGUUCAUAUCGACGGCGGUGUUUGGCACCUCGAUGUCGGCUCAUCACAUCCUGGGGCUGAAGUAGGUCCCAAGGGUAUGGCUGUUCGCCAUUUAAAGUGGUACGCGAGCUGGGUUUAGAACGUCGUGAGACAGUUCGGUCCCUAUCUGCCGUGGGCGCUGGAGAAUUGAGGGGGGCUGCUCCUAGUACGAGAGGACCGGAGUGGACGCAUCACUGGUGUUCGGGUUGUCAUGCCAAUGGCACUGCCCGGUAGCUAAAUGCGGAAGAGAUAAGUGCUGAAAGCAUCUAAGCACGAAACUUGCCCCGAGAUGAGUUCUCCCUGAGACUUUAAGUCUCCUGAAGGAACGUUAAAGACGAUGACGUUGAUAGGCCGGGUGUGUAAGCGCAGCGAUGCGUUGAGCUAACCGGUACUAAUGAACCGUGAGGCUUAACCUU
rnacentral:rRNA from 1 species